AACGGCCGUACCAUGCUGAAUAUACCGGUUCUCGUUAGAUCACCGAAGUCAAGCAUCAUUGGGCGCAGUCAGUACUUGGGUGGGUGACCACCUGGGAACACCGCGUGCCGUU